CCACGGUCCCUUCAGCUGGGCCUGUUAGCAAUGUAAAGGAUACUGAAACGAUGGUUUCUUCAGCUGGCCGUGUCAGCGUUGUAAAAAAGACUGAAGCUCCAGUUCCUUCAGCUGGUCCUGCCAACAUUGUAAAGAAGAGAGGAAACUACGGUUCUUUCACCUGCGCCUGCCAAGUAUAUAAAAAUCAUCGAGGGUAUAUAUUGGCAUGUCAAACAAGAAUGUAAAGAAGACUGAAACUGAUGUUCACUCACCUGGUCAUGUUAACAUUGUAGAGAAGACUGAAUCCUAUCAAGAAUAUUAGAAGUUCAACACCACUUGGCAUGCCAUGGUUAUACCAUGAUGGGAUCAAGUGCACACACAACAACUGUUCAUCUAUGCGUGUAACUGAUAAUGAGAGCACAAAUGUUGAUGAUGUAUUAUUUAAACAACAAACUCUAUCCUAACAAGCCAUUGGUUCCCACAGUUUGAAAAAUACAUGAAAUAUAUGUUUCCAGAAUGUUACUCCCUCCUAAUAUAAGACGUUUUGUCAGGCCAAUUUUGCUAGCCAAAAUGUCUUAUAUUAGUGAAGAGAGGAAGUACUUUGUAGGCUUUCCAUGAUUGCCUUUUGUUCAGAUUGUAUGACUUGAGGACUUGGAGUAUACCCAAGGUUGGUCACCCUACUUUGAGUACGUUCUUUGAGCUCAUCUCUCAAUCUGAUGUGUUUGAUGAGUCUAGCCACCCUACUGGCUAGAAUAUCUGCUCUGCCAAGGUUUGGUGUAAAAGGCUGGUUUUUGGAAUCGCUAUUUCAGCCGCUAGCAAUGUGACACUACAUUGCUGGAUGAUUUUUUUUUUCGUGCCCACAUUCUAGGUUUCAUUUAGUUGGUAUUCAGGAUAUUCAAUUACUCCAUUGAACCAAUAUACAGAUCACGUUGGCGCAUGUCAAGUAAAUCAAGUUUGCAAUCUUUA